GCGCCCGUAGCUCAGCUGGAUAGAGCGCACCCCUCCUAAGGGUGAGGCCACAGGUUCAAAUCCUGUCGGGCGCA
rnacentral:tRNA from 1 species